rnacentral:rRNA from 1 species
UAAGGAAUAUUGGACAAUGGACGCAAGUCUGAUCCAGCCAUGCCGCGUGAAGGAUGAAUGCCCUCUGGGUUGUAAACUUCUUUUAUAGGGGAAGAAAGAUACUUUUUUUAAGGUAGUUGACGGUACCCUAUGAAUAAGCACCGGCUAACUCCGUGCCAGCAGCCGCGGUAAUACGGAGGGUGCAAGCGUUAUCCGGAUUUACUGGGUUUAAAGGGUGCGUAGGCGGGCAUGUAAGUCAGUGGUGAAAUACCGGAGCUUAACUUCGGAACUGCCAUUGAUACUAUAUGUCUUGAAUAUUGUGGAGGUAAGCGGAAUAUGUCAUGUAGCGGUGAAAUGCAUAGAUAUGACAUAGAACACCGAUUGCGGAGGCAGCUUGCUACGCAAAUAUUGACGCUGAGGCACGAAAGCGUGGGG